CUUCUGGAGGACGUUCGUUUGCUGCUGGAGGAGUGCAAGAAGAAGCACGAUGAAGAAGAUCUACAAGCGGCGCUUGCGAGCAUCAAGGUCGAUCGACGCGGCAAAGUCACCAAGAUCAAGGAGAUCGACUUCGCUUCUACCUCCUCGGAUGCAUCUACUGAGGUUGAUCAGAAUCCUUUCCCAGUGCAUGUGUUGGAAUUAAAUAAUCCUAAAGUGCUAGUUCGGCCGAGUCAAGCCGAAUCAACCAAGGGGAAGAAUGUAGUUAUUGGUGAUGAAAGAC